GAUGAACGCUGGCGGCGUGCCUAAUACAUGCAAGUCGAGCGAACGGACGCGAAGCUUGCUUCUCUGAUGUUAGCGGCGGACGGGUGAGUAACACGUGGAUAACCUCCCUAUAAGACUGGGAUAACUUCGGGAAACCGGAGCUAAUACCGGAUAAUAUUUUGAACCGCAUGGUUCAAUAGUGAAAGACGGUCUUGCUGUCACUUAUAGAUGGAUCCGCGCUGCAUUAGCUAGUUGGUAAGGUAACGGCUUACCAAGGCAACGAUGCAUAGCCGACCUGAGAGGGUGAUCGGCCACACUGGAACUGAGACACGGUCCAGAGUCCUACGGGAGGCAGCAGUAGGGAAUCGGGCGCAAUGGGCGAAAGCCUGACGGAGCAGCGCCGAGUGAGUGAGGAAGGUCUUCGGAUCGUAAAACUCUGUUAUUAGGGAAGAACACAUGUGUAAGUAACUGUGCACGUCUGGACGGUACCUAAUCAGAAAGCCACGGCUAACUACGUG
rnacentral:rRNA from 1 species